rfam:Gossypium raimondii Chr07_contig_1232, whole genome shotgun sequence.
UGUUAAAAAAUUCACCCAAUUUUAUUGUUAAAAAUUAACUUGGCUAACAAAAUAACCAGACAAUUAUACAUGGCAUGCCACAUGUAUCUUAUUUUGACAUACGCGGGUCAAUUUUUAACAAUAAAAGUAAAUAAAAUUUUUAAUA